rnacentral:rRNA from 1 species
UCUGGCUCAGAUUGAACGCUGGCGGCAGGCCUAACACAUGCAAGUCGAGCGGUAGCACAGAGAGCUUGCUCUCGGGUGACGAGCGGCGGACGGGUGAGUAAUGUCUGGGAAACUGCCUGAUGGAGGGGGAUAACUACUGGAAACGGUAGCUAAUACCGCAUAACGUCGCAAGACCAAAGUGGGGGACCUUCGGGCCUCAUGCCAUCAGAUGUGCCCAGAUGGGAUUAGCUAGUAGGUGGGGUAACGGCUCACCUAGGCGACGAUCCCUAGCUGGUCUGAGAGGAUGACCAGCCACACUGGAACUGAGACACGGUCCAGACUCCUACGGGAGGCAGCAGUGGGGAAUAUUGCACAAUGGGCGCAAGCCUGAUGCAGCCAUGCCGCGUGUGUGAAGAAGGCCUUCGGGUUGUAAAGCACUUUCAGCGGGGAGGAAGGCGUUAAGGUUAAUAACCUUGGCGAUUGACGUUACCCGCAGAAGAAGCACCGGCUAACUCCGUGCCAGCAGCCGCGGUAAUACGGAGGGUGCAAGCGUUAAUCGGAAUUACUGGGCGUAAAGCGCACGCAGGCGGUCUGUCAAGUCGGAUGUGAAAUCCCCGGGCUCAACCUGGGAACUGCAUUCGAAACUGGCAGGCUAGAGUCUUGUAGAGGGGGGUAGAAUUCCAGGUGUAGCGGUGAAAUGCGUAGAGAUCUGGAGGAAUACCGGUGGCGAAGGCGGCCCCCUGGACAAAGACUGACGCUCAGGUGCGAAAGCGUGGGGAGCAAACAGGAUUAGAUACCCUGGUAGUCCACGCCGUAAACGAUGUCGAUUUGGAGGUUGUGCCCUUGAGGCGUGGCUUCCGGAGCUAACGCGUUAAAUCGACCGCCUGGGGAGUACGGCCGCAAGGUUAAAACUCAAUG